CCCCGGGUAGCUCAGUUGGCCAGAGCGCACGGCUGUAGACCGUGAGGUCGCGAGUUCGAGUCUCGCUCCGGGGA
rnacentral:tRNA from 1 species